CUAGACUCCUACGGGAGGCAGCCGUGGGGGCUCUUGCACAAUGGGGGGCCCCCUGAUGCAGCGACGCCGCGUGGGUGACGAAGCGCCUCGGCGCGUAAAGCCCUGUCAGCAGGGAAGACAAUGACGGUACCUGAAGAAGAAGCCCCGGCUAACUACGUGCCAGCAGCCGCGGUCCUACGUAGGGGGCAAGCGUUAUCCGGAUUUACUGGGGGUCACGGGGGCGCAGACGGCGAUGCAAGCCAGGAGUGAAAGCCCGGGGCCCAACCCCGGGACGGCGCGGGGAACGGCGGGGCGGGAGGGCAGGAGGGGCAGGCGGAAUGCCUGGGGGAGCGGUGAAAGGCGGAGAGAGCAGGAGGAACACCGGGGGCGAAGGCGGCCGGCGGGACGGCAACUGACGGGGAGGCCCGAAAGCGGGGGGAGCAAACAGGAGGAGAGACCCCCGUAC
rnacentral:rRNA from 1 species